GAUUAACGCUGGCGGCGUGCAUAACACAUGCAAGUCGAACGAUGAAACUUAACUGAUUUCUUCGGAAUGAUUUUAAGUGGAUUAGUGGCGGACGGGUGAGUAACGCGUGAGUAACCUGCCUUGGAGAAGGGGAUAGCCUUUGGACACGAAGAAUAAUACCCUAUGAUAUGAUAAUAUCUCAUGAUAUUAUCAUCAAAGAUUUAUCGCUCUAAGAUGGACUUGCGUCUGAUUAGUUAGUUGGUGAGGUAACAGCUCACCAAGGCAGCGAGCAGUAGCCGGCUUGAGAGAGUGUACGGCCACAUUGGGACUGAGACACGGCCCAGACUCCUACGGGAGGCAGCAGUGGGGAAUUUUGCACAAUGGGGGAAACCCUGAUGCAGCGACGCCGCGUGAUUUAGAAGGCCUUCGGGUUGUAAAAAUCUUUUGUACGGGAAGAAAAUGACAGUACCAUACGAAUAAGGACCGGCUAAUUACGUG
rnacentral:rRNA from 1 species